rnacentral:tRNA from 1 species
GCCAGAGUGGCGAAAUCGGUAGACGCGGCGGACUCAAAAUCCGUUGAGCCAAAAACUCGUGUCGGUUCGAGUCCGACCUCUGGCA